UACAGAGGUCCCAAGCGUUGUUCGGAUUCACUGGGCGUAAAGCGUGCGCAGGCGGUUAUAUAAGACAGUUGUGAAAUCCCCGGGCUCAACCUGGGAACUGCAUCUGUGACUGUAUAGCUAGAGUACGGUAGAGGGGGAUGGAAUUCCGCGUGUAGCAGUGAAAUGCGUAGAUAUGCGGAGGAACACCGAUGGCGAAGGCAAUCCCCUGGACCUGUACUGACGCUCAUGCACGAAAGCGUGGGGAGCAAACAGG
rnacentral:rRNA from 1 species